UUGCGCCUACGGGGCGCAGCAGUGAGGAAUAUUGGUCAAUGGGCGCGAGCCUGAACCAGCCAAGUAGCGUGAAGGAAGAAGGCUUUCGGGUUGUAAACUUCUUUUAAGAGGGAAGAGAAGAAGACGGUACCUCUUGAAUAAGCCACGGCUAACUACGUGCCAGCAGCCGCGGUAAUACGUAGGUGGCAAGCGUUGUCCGGAUUUACUGGGUGUAAAGGGCGUGCAGCCGGGCUGACAAGUCAGAUGUGAAAUCCCGCGGCUCAACCGCGGAACUGCAUUUGAAACUGUCAGUCUUGAGUACCGGG
rnacentral:rRNA from 1 species